rnacentral:rRNA from 1 species
UUGGAGGGCAAGUCUGGUGCCAGCAGCCGCGGUAAUUCCAGCUCCAACAGCGUAUAUUAAAGUUGUUGCAGUUAAAAAGCUCGUAGUUGAAUUUUGGGUCUGGCCGGGCGGUCCGCCCUCCGGGUGAGCACUGUUCCGACGUCGGGCCUAUCCUUCUGGUGAGUCGGCAUGUCCUUUAUUGGGUGUGUCGGGGAACCAGGACCAUUACCUUGAAAAAAUUAGAGUGUUCAAGGCAGGCGUAUGCUCGGAUACAUUAGCAUGGAAUAAUGAAAUAGGACGCGUGGUGCUAUUUUGUUGGUUUCUAGAACCGCCGUAAUGAUUAAUAGGGAUAGUUGGGGGCAUUAGUAUUCAAUUGUCAGAAGUGAAAUUCUUGGAUUUAUUGAAGACUAACUUCUGCGAAAGCAUUUGCCAAGGAUGUUUUCACUAAUCAAGAACGAAAGUUAGGGGAUCGAAGACGAUCAGAUACCGUCGUAGUCUUAACCAUAAACUAUGCCGACUAGGAAUCGGGCGAUGUUAUUCUCAUGACUCGCCUGGCGCCUUAUGGGAAACCAAAGUGUUUGGGUUC